AAGAAAAGCAGAGCAGAAGCCCAUCGCCUGGGGAAACUGCAAGUUCUAAGGGGUCUCAUAAGCUGUGGAAGAUGGUAGCAUAGUGGUAGAUCUGUCCAAUCUUGGUGCACAGCAUGUAACCAUAUUAACUGAGUUGUGUUUUCAUUGCUGGGGCAUAUUUGGGAGGAGAUUUACAUCAACACCAUGGUGUUACCACAAUGCUGCUACCUUAUUAGGGAAUUGAAAAACAUAGGUUCUCUCCAUGGAACACUGCAGAAGCAUGAUGGCUAAUUCGUUUGACAAGCUGGCAGAGGCAUUGCUGAACCCAUACAUGUGAGCUGCUGGCCGGCCUCAACAAAAGGUACCUGCAAACCUAGCAAGUAAAGUUUUCCACCCCCUGGCAGGAUGGAGCUUGCUGAAGUCAGUUUCCCUAAAGUUGCUGAGGUGUUUAUUUCAUAUUUGGAACCCUUCCUAGGGCCAAGAUACCUGGCUUAUGACUAGGUCAUUUACAAUAAAGUACCUGCUGUACAGCUGCCAAGCUUGCUAUAUAAGUGUGCAAAAAUUUGGAAUUCAGACCACAAGAAUGCUGUCUGAGUCUUCAGGCACCUGGUCAUCUGGGUCCAGGUUGAUGCUGCAGCAUGUCUUCUAACCCGCCUACCACCAGAGGGCAGCAGCGUACAUUCACAACAAUUGUUGAGAAGUGGAAGCCGAUGAAUCUUAUGUGCAGAAGAGGACAUAGCAAAAGAAGAAGCAUUCCAUACCACCUGCGUUCAUGCCUGCCAUGC
rnacentral:lncRNA from 1 species